CCUACGGGUGGCUGCAGUGAGGAAUAUUGGUCAAUGGGCGCGAGCCUGAACCAGCCAAGUCGCGUGAGGGAAGCCGGCCCUACGGGUUGUACACCUCUUUUGCCGGGGAGCAACGGGCGCCACGUGUGGCGCCACUGCGAGUACCCGGAGAAAAAGCAUCGGCUAACUCCGUGCCAGCAGCCGCGGUAAUCCGGGGGAUGCGAGCGUUAUCCGGAUUUUUUGGGUUUAAGGUGUGCGUAGGCGGCGCGUGAAGUCAGUGGUCAAAUUGAGGGGCUCAACCCCUUCCCGCCAUUGAAACUGGCGCUCUUGAGUGGAAGAGAAGUAUGCGGAAUGCGUGGUGUAGCGGUGAAAUGCAUAGAUAUCACGCAGAACCCCGAUUGCGAAGGCAGCAUGCCGGCUUCCUACUGACGCUGAAGCACGAAAGCGUGGGGAUCGAACAGGAUUAGAUACCCGUGUAGUC
rnacentral:rRNA from 1 species